rnacentral:rRNA from 1 species
UACGAAGGUUGCUAGCGUUGUUCGGAAUUACUGGGCGUAAAGCGCACGUAGGCGGAUUUUCAAGUCAGGGGUGAAAUCCCGGGGCUCAACCUCGGAAUUGCCUUUGAUACUGUCUAUCUUGAGUUCGGGAGAGGUGAGUGGAAUUCCUAGUGUAGAGGUGAAAUUCGUAGAUAUUAGGAAGAACACAAGUGGCGAAGGCGGCUCACUGGCCCGGUACUGACGCUCAUGUGCGAAAGCGUGGGGAGCAAACAGG